UGGGGAAUAUUGCACAAUGGGCGCAAGCCUGAUGCAGCCAUGCCGCGUGUAUGAAGAAGGCCUUCGGGUUGUAAAGUACUUUCAGUCGGGAGGAAGGUGGUAAGGUUAAUAACCUUGGCAAUUGACGUUACCGACAGAAGAAGCACCGGCUAACUCCGUGCCAGCAGCCGCGGUAAUACGGAGGGUGCAAGCGUUAAUCGGAAUUACUGGGCGUAAAGCGCACGCAGGCGGUUGAUUGAGUCAGAUGUGAAAUCCCCGGGCUUAACCCGGGAAUUGCAUCUGAUACUGGUCAGCUAGAGUCUUGUAGAGGGGGGUAGAAUUCCAUGUGUAGCGGUGAAAUGCGUAGAGAUCUGGAGGAAUACCGGUGGCGAAGGCGGCCCCCUGGACGAAGACUGACGCUCAGGUGCGAAAGCGUGGGGAGCAAACAGG
rnacentral:rRNA from 1 species